AUACGUAGGGAACGAGCGUUAUCCGGAUUUAUUGGGUGUAAAGGGUGCGUAGACGGGUAAUCAAGUUAGUUGUGAAAUCCCUCGGCUUAACUGAGGAACUGCAACUAAAACUGGUUGUCUUGAGUGCAGGAGAGGUAAGUGGAAUUCCUAGUGUAGCGGUGAAAUGCGUAGAUAUUAGGAGGAACACCAGUGGCGAAGGCGACUUACUGGACUGUAACUGACGUUGAGGCACGAAAGUGUGGGGAGCAAACAGGAUUAGAUACCCUGGUAGUCCACACCGUAAACGAUGGAUACUAGGUGUAGGAGAUAUUAAGUCUUCUGUGCCGUCGCAAACGCAGUAAGUAUCCCACCUGGGGAGUACGGCCGCAAGGUUGAA
rnacentral:rRNA from 1 species